AUAACCAUAAUUGGAGGAGUUGAAUUUAUAAUUUGCCGAUAAAACAUAUAUUAGGCAACAGUAUCAGUAAGAGAUGGCUAUGCUGUAUGAUAUAUUUUAAAUUCAUUAUUUAUAAGGAACCAAUCAAAUUGCAGCUGCACCAAGUCGAGCUGUGUGGAUGAAGCAAGAGAAAAGUUGGGACACAUUCUCAGCAUAGUUCUGGCAAUUGGAUGGAUGAUGUGGGGUAUGCGAGCGCACUAAUUUUCUGAAUUUUCUUUCGCCAUGCCAGAAACAACAAUAACUACAGAAAACUUCGAGAAAGUCUACAGUCUGCAGCAUGGCAUAAGAAAAUUUCUUUGAUGACGAUGCUGAUGAUGUUGUUGAUGAUGAUUUAAAGGGAGUACAACGAUUUCAUGCUCCAAAAGCCUCCACAGUUUCAGAGCAGACACACACACGCACACACAUAGACACAUGAAUAAAUUUAUAUUAACUAAAAGUGUACCAUAUGUCUGCAGAUAUUUUCUGCAGUGCCCACUCAAUAGCAUUUAUGCCAUUAACUGGGACAUGCUGGCACAGAACUUCUCUGCACUUCGCUCCGUCUAUGGCCACUUGCUGAAGUCAGACUGUUAUUAUUGCCCAUUCGCUUCACUCUCCAAAUGUACUGAAUGAAUCUAAUGCCGUCUCAAAUGCCAAACAACGUGGGCUGCAGUUUUGGCUUUGUUGCUUUUGCUGCUGCUGCUGCGGGUAUCUGUUGUGACUUUUAUGGCGGCAUCUGGCAGCGGGCAGCAGCUGAACGCUAAAUUGAUUUUGAUUGUUUUUAAAUAUGUAGUUGCGCAUACAAAAAUG